UCUUCAGAGGUUUGUUGGGGAUUUGUUGGGCCAGUUGUUUCCACACUGUGGGAAUUCUAUGAAAUUAUAUGAUUGACUGUACACCAGCGAGUUAACACUGGGAACAGACCAUUCACCAACUCCAAGUAUGGGAAGGGUCAACCUACCCGCUGACACACUAGCGUGUACAUGAUCAACUAUAGUGACCUGCAUGCUAUAUUUCAGAAUAUUGAAUAUCAAAAAAAAAAGUUUGAUGUUAAUCACCUUUAUAAAACCUUUGGCGUAAGUUCACUUCUUUGGAAGGGUUCUCCUCCUCGGACCCUCCAUCCUACCUCCAAGCACAAGGGUGAGGAGCUCAUGGAGAUUCUUUGUGACUAACAUUGAGACAAUCCCUUCAGGUGUGUGUAACGGACAGUUUUACAACAUCUCCGGGAGGGGUUAGUACAGUCAGGAUGGGCUGAAUGGCCGCGAGCGCCCUCUCGUCCCCAAUAAUCCGGGCAUCCUGCACAAUUCACUGUGACUGUUGGAGCGGAGGGAAGCCCCCACCAAUCACUCACAACGGGGCCCCGUAGAUUGACGGCGGCUUCGGACCAAUAAGAAGCGGGUGGGCGGGACUGAAAGACCAAGCCGCGCGGUUAGUCCUCCAACCAAUCGGAGUGAAUGGGGGGGGCUCGCGGGAUGACACGUGAGCGACAGGACGAGAUGGCGGUUGGGGAGGGGGGGGUCGUUGUUCCGGAGAGCGGCGGUGAAAUGGAGACGGUGUGGACUGGGAGGUUGAUGGGACAGAAAUAGAAAUUCUCGGUCCCUUUGUCAGCAAACUGGAAAAAGUCUGCGGGCUUCGUACGGCGACAAACCAAGGUAACCGCCACCGUUUUGUACUGGGUCGGGGGGAGAGAGACGAUGUUCAGGGGGACGCAUACGGAGCCGCCAUUUUUAUGGGGUCAAUAUGAAGAAGUACGCCUGCGCGCCCUUUAACGGCGGCCGGGAGGGGACAAUAAGAGACUGCUUCGACAUUCCAUGAUUCGACACCAGGAAACUGCGGAUGCUGGAAUCUAAGGUGGACAAGCGGGAUGCUGGGCGAGCACAGCAAGCCAGGCAGCAUCAGGAGGUGGAGAAGUCAACGGCUCGCGUGUAAUUCUCCUUCAGGACUUCCUGUUCAAAUUCAGAGUGAGCACAGAGAUUCAGCAGGUCAUCCCAGUUGCUGUCACAUCGGCGAAUCCACACUGGGGAGAGACCCGUCACCUGCUCGGAGUGUGGGAAGGCAUUCAUCAGAUUAUCCCACCUGUUUCCUGAUGAAAGGCUUUUGCCCGAAACGUUGAUUUUCCUGCUCCUCGGAUGCUGCCUGACCUGCUGUGCUUUUCCAGCACCACUCUGAUCUUCAGCUUCUGCAGUCCUCACUUUUGCCUAGAUCAUCCCACCUGUUAUCCCACCAGCGAAUCCAAACUGGGGAGUGACCCUUCACCUGCUCCAAAUGUGGAAAGGGAGUCACACAGUCAUCCAAUAUGCUAACGCACCAAAGAGUUCACAAGUAACAGCAGCGAUUGAAUUUUGCAGUGAAUCAUAUUUGGAAGCGAACCUAUUCCAUUGACUCGAUAGGCCACCUCAGUAUCACAAACUUUCCCCA